UCUUAUGGAUGAGCAAAGAAAAUGGUUUCUUGAGAUGGAAUCUACUGUGGUGAGGAUUCUGUGAA
rnacentral:pre_miRNA from 1 species